CUACCACAGAUUUCCACGGUGCAUACGCUGGUACUAAUGAGCUUAAGGUGCUAAACUAAUGAGCGUAAGGUGCUAAUGGCCGGAACUAAUUAAGUAGCUAACCCAAUACAUACCCAGAAAAAGGCCCAAGAAAAAGAAAAAAAGCCCACAAGUGCCCACUACGGCUGAUUACGUGAGAAUCGGGCAAUCGGCAGCAGCAGGGCAUCCGGCCGGUACGUGAUCGAUCUGUUCCCUGCCGUCACCAGUUCUCUUCCUCUGUUCUUCUUCAUCUCCAGACGACGGACGACUAGACCAGACACUGCAGCUUGGGAGACGAUCGAUUGAUCGAGUCGCCGGAGGCCGGAGCCGGACGCACGUACAGGUAAGUAACUUGCUCGUUCUUUAAUUAUCUAGAUGAUUAGGCAAUCAACUAAUCAUCAAUUCAUCAACAAAUAUUCCUAUUAUUAAUAGAUGAAGAGGAAGAAUCAGGGGUCUGGAAAGACGCCAUCAAUAUCAUGUUCGUACAAACCAGUACCAGUUGCUUCAAAUUCAAGCUCUAGUAUUCUUGCUGUUUAGAAUAUUGUAGUAUCAUCUGAAGAGGAAAACGCAAACCCAUCUGAGGAAGAGCAUCCAUCUGUAGAUCAUAACUCAACUGAUAAUCCAAUUGAUAUGCAAACUGAUGAUCAGAAUAUUGUAGCAUCCGUGGAAGUUUCAGAACAGGCUAGAGUAGGAAGUACAGCAUAUGAACGGGAUCCGGGUAAACGCCAACAGAUUUGGGAACUCCCUCUGGAUAAGCAAGAAGAAGCGCGCCGAUUUUAUAUUUCAGAGGGCCCUUUCAGCCAUACAUGGCCAAUUAUCCGUAUAAUGAACAUCGUCGUCGAUUCCAAUAUAGCUAUUUCACUAAUUUUCCUUGGCUAGAGUAUUCACUUGUUAAACAUCAUGCAUAUUGCCUGCCUUGUUUCCUCUUCACAAGAAAGCCAAAUGGUAGAUGUGGCUCGGAUACAUUCACAGUUGAUGGAUUUUCGAACUGGAAGAAGGUGAAUGCUGGAAAAAAUUGUGCUUUCUUAACUCACAUGGGCAAAGAUUCAAACUCUGCUCAUAACUUUUCGGUUCGAUCGUUUCAUAGUCUGAAAAAUAGUAUGACUCAUAUCGACAAGGCGAUUGUACAAGCAUCUGCAAAAAUGAUUGGAAAUGCAAGGCAAAGGCUUAAAGUUACAAUUGAUUCCAUCAGGUGGUUAACAUUCCAAGCUUGUGCUUUUAGAGGCCAUGAUGAAUCUCCGGGAUCCAUAAAUCAGGGUAAUUUUCUUGAAUUGAUAAAGUUAUUGGCUUUGUAUAACAAGGAGGUGAAUGAGGUUGUCCUACAAAAUGCUCCACGCAAUGCUAAGUACACAUCUGGAGAGGUUCAACAAGAAAUUCUUCAGUUACUAUCUCGUAGAGUGCAGAAAAAUAUUAUAGAAGAAAUUGGUACUAGCAAGUUCUGUAUAAUGGUGGACGAAGCUCGAGAUGAAUCCAAAAAAGACCAGAUGGCAUUGGUCAUUCGAUUUGUUAACAAGGAAGGGUUUAUAAAGGAGCGGUUCCUCGAUGUUAUUCAUGUAAAAAACACGGUUGCAUCGACUCUGAAGGAUGCAAUUUGUGCUGUCCUUGUCGAUAAUAAUCUGAAUGUGCAAGAUAUCAGAGGACAAGGAUACGACGGGGCAAGCAACAUGAGAGGGGAAUGGAAUGGACUGAAGGCUCUUAUUCUGAACGAGUGCCCUUAUGCAUAUUAUGUCCAUUGCAUGGCUCAUCAGUUACAGUUGGCUCUUGUUGCAGCAUCAAGAGAAGUGCCUGAUUUGCACAAUUUUUUUCAGCAUGCAAAUUUCAUCAUAAAUGUGGUUAGUGCGUCGUCUAAACGCAAUGAUGAGUUACUUGCAAAACAAGCUAUUGAGAUUGCACGUGAAAUUGAAUUGGGAGAGCUCGAUACAGGCAAAGGGGCAAAUCAAAUAGGCUCUUUACAGAGAACAGGGGACACUAGAUGGAGCUCUCACUUCAAGUCAAUUCACAGCUUGCGAAAGAUGUUUGGUGCUACAAUUGCAGUCCUAAGGAGUAUAGCAACGGAUCAUUCCGUCUCACAAUAUUCUAGAGGAGAUGCUGCAGGAGCCCUAAAGAUAAUCAUCUCUUUUGAUUUUGUUUUUAUUCUGCACCUCAUGGAGAAAAUUAUGAAGAUAACAGAUGUCUUGUGUCAAAUACUCCAAAAGAAAUCUGUUGACAUAUUGAAUGCAUUAAAUUCUGUCUCAAACACCAAGGCGCUUAUUGGUAAGCUAAGGAAAGAUGGUUGGGAACCUCUUAUGGAGGAGGUUAAAUCUUUUUGUCUGAAGCAUGAGAUUGAUAUCCCAGAUUUGAACAACAAGUAUGUUGAUGUGACUAAGUCUCGGAAAAAACAUGAUAACACAACAACACUCCACCACUAUAAAGUAGAUGUGUUCCACGUUGCCAUAGAUCAACAAGUGGUGGAGCUCAAUAAUCGAUUUGGUGUUCAAAGUACAGAGCUUCUGACACUGUGUGCAUCCUUGGAUCCAAGACUUGACUCUUUUGACAUAUCAAAUAUAUGUUCUUUGGUGGAAAAGUUUUAUCCGGCUGAUUUUUCUACCCAAGAACGAGCUCAACUGGAGUCUCAGCUGCCACAUUUCCAAUUGGAUGUCUGCAACCAUCCGGAACUAAAAUGCGUGCCUUCACUUGCUGAUUUGACAGUUGGUCUAGCUAAAACAGGUAAAUUUGAUGCAUACUCGAUGGUUGAUAGGUUAUUGUGCUUGGUCAUAACUCUACCAGUGUCAACCGCAACCACCGAGCGAGCUUUUUCAGCUAUGAAACUGAUCAAGACGCGUCUUCGAAAUAAAAUGGGAGAUAACUUUCUUCGACACUACAUGAUCGUCUAUAUUGGGAAGGAAUUAGCUAGAAAAGUCACCUCCGAUAAGAUCAUUGACUUGUUCGAUGAGCUUGGUAGUCGUAGAGUUAAAUUUAAGCUCAUAGAAAUUUAGUUUCUUUUGUUCUUGCACACAUUUGUUGCUAUACUUUCUAUCGAUAUACUACAUUGAGACUCUUUAUAUUGAGACUUUAUAUAUUGGUAUUUUUAUCUAUACUUUGUGUUUUCAGUUUUUCGCCCCCCUCAUAUUCAAAUCCUGGCUCCGCCCCUGACUAUAUUCUAUCACAACUCUUAGUACAUUGUUUAGAUUAAUGUAAUGGAUGGUACUGGCACAUAAGACAUUUUGUUGGCUUGCUGUAUUGAUGUACUGUACUUAAAUUAGUAUUAGUACUUGGCCAUUAGUUGAGUACUUUGACAUAAGUAAUUGCAGCAGGCAAUGAAACUUUUGUUGUUACAUUGAUUUUUGGUAGGUAAUCUCACAAGUUGACAUGAAAAUAGUAUAAUGGUUGAUGUACUUACCUAAUCAGUUGCAUUCUUAAUACACAAGAAUACUAUGGCACUAGUACUUAAAUUUGUUGGCAAAAGUACUUGAUGUAUACAAGUUGUGUUUCAUAUAGUUAUUAUAAGAGUGGGAAAAUAUUAUCCACUUUGUUUUCCCUCCAACUUAUCAUUACAGGUACCUAUGUUUCCAACAUACAUGUUUUUGUUGUUCCAGUCAUCUUCUGAAUGUAGUGCUAUUGUGUGAAGGGGUAACCAUCAGUCUGGAAGUACCAAUUUGUACUGAAUAUGAUUUCAUAUGUACUGUACUUUUAAUUGCCAGGUAUAUCUUCUUCAUAGGAAUAUUAUCAGAAGUUUUGAGCCCUGAUUGAUAACAAAAGUUUGUUCUGAAGGUGAGUUGCACAAUCUCGAUACUACGAAUGAGCCUGAGGCUCCUAUCUUUGACAAGACACCUCAAUGCCUCACAAAAGUUUUUAUUAACUUUGCUGAGAACAGCAGUGAUAAGAAGAUAGCAGCGGGGCGAACCUGAUGGAGCCAUAGGAGAGAAAGAUGCAUCAGAAUCUUCGGUUGAGGCCUUAGGGGUGAAGGUGUACCAGAGAAGGAAGUUGUCUAGGAAAAUAUACAACAUAGUACUUAAAAAGGCCGAAGAAGGUACUGCUGCCCUGCUAAGUGAAGGAGGAAGUACUUUUUAGAAGAAAGGCCAAGAUCAUAUAUUCUUCAUGCAUAAUGUGUGCAGGAAUGUCUUUAAGUUAAGCAGAGUUAAGAAUGGAUGUUGCGAAACUGAGGCCGAGAUCUUAUUUUGUUGUAAUGAUGGUACUAUAUGGCAGUUCAGUACUUUGGCUAAAUUGUGAACUGUAAUGAAGUCAGUGUGCACUUUAAUUGUUCGUCCGAGGUCCAUAAUGUGUCAUACAUUUGUAUGGAUGUUAUUUCAAAUGCCCUUUGAGAACUAUAUGAUUGUUCGAUAAUUAGCA